rnacentral:rRNA from 1 species
UACGAAGGGGGCGAGCGUUGUUCGGAAUUACUGGGCGUAAAGGGCGCGCAGGCGGCCUUAGAAGUCAGAUGUGAAAGCCCCGGGCUCAACCUGGGAAUGGCAUUUGAUACUCUGAGGCUGGAGUACGGGAGAGGAGAGUGGAAUUCCCAGUGUAGAGGUGAAAUUCGUAGAUAUUGGGAAGAACACCGGUGGCGAAGGCGGCUCUCUGGACCGAGACUGACGCUGAGGCGCGAAAGCGUGGGGAGCAAACAGG